GCCAGUGUGGUAUAGUGGUUUGAGUGUUGGAUUAUGACUCUGGAGACCAGGGUUCCAAUCCUUGCUUGGCC
rnacentral:tRNA from 1 species